AAUUACAUAAUAUAAAAAAUAUAUUUAACUUCCAAUUAAAAAAUUUAAUAAAAUUAAUGUAAUUA
rnacentral:tRNA from 1 species